CCAGUCUUCCGAAAUGGAACUGUCCUUAGAAGAAGGGAGGAGUUCUCUAUCUUCAUCGAGCUGCACAUCCUCCAGCCGCCCAGACUCGCGGAGUUCCUGUGGCAUUCCUGACGUACGGUCUUCAGAAAUCGAGCUGUCACUGGAAGAAGGGAGAAGUUCUCCAUCUUCAUCGAGCUGCACAUCCUCCAGCCGCCCAG